rnacentral:rRNA from 1 species
UACGUAGGGUGCGAGCGUUAAUCGGACUUACUGGGCGUAAAGCGUGCGCAGGCGGUUUUGUAAGACAGAGGUGAAAUCCCCGGGCUCAACCUGGGAACUGCCUUUGUGACUGCAAGGCUUGAGUGCGGCAGAGGGGGAUGGAAUUCCGCGUGUAGCAGUGAAAUGCGUAGAUAUGCGGAGGAACACCGAUGGCGAAGGCAAUCCCCUGGGCCUGCACUGACGCUCAUGCACGAAAGCGUGGGGAGCAAACAGG